GAUGAACGCUGGCGGCGUGCCUAAUACAUGCAAGUCGAGCGAACGGACGAGAAGCUUGCUUUUCUGAUGUUAGCGGCGGACGGGUGAGUAACACGUGGAUAACCUACCUAUAAGACUGGGAUAACUUCGGGAAACCGGAGCUAAUACCGGAUAAUAUUUUGAACCGCAUGGUUCAAAAGUGAAAGACGGUCUUGCUGUCACUUAUAGAUGGAUCCGCGCUGCAUUAGCUAGUUGGUAAGGUAACGGCUUACCAAGGCAACGAUGCAUAGCCGACCUGAGAGGGUGAUCGGCCACACUGGAACUGAGACACGGUCCAGACUCCUACGGGAGGCAGCAGUGGGGAAUCUUCCGCAAUGGGCGAAAGCCUGACGGAGCAACGCCGCGUGAGUGAUGAAGGUCUUCGGAUCGUAAAACUCUGUUAUUAGGGAAGAACAGAUGUAUAAGAAACUGUGCACAUCUUGACGGUACCUAAACAGAAAGCCACGGCUAACUACGUG
rnacentral:rRNA from 1 species